CAUUUAAUUGGUCGGGCCGCUGGUCCUGAUCCUUUACUUUGAGAAAAUUAAAGUGCUCAAAGCAGGCUCGCGCCUGAAUGCAUUAGCAUGGAAUAAUAAGACACGACUUCGGCGCCGCCACUCGUGGCGGGUGUUUUGUUGGUUUUGAGCUGGAGUAAUGAUUGAUAGAAACAAUUGGGGGUGCUAGUAUCGCCGGGCCAGAGGUAAAAUUCUUUAAUUCCGGUGAGACUAACUUAUGCGAAAGCAUUCACCAAGCGUGUUUUCUUUAAUCAAGAACUAAAGUUGGGGGAUCGAAGACGAUCAG
rnacentral:rRNA from 2 species